rnacentral:rRNA from 1 species
UUCCGGUUGAUCCUGCCAGACCUGACUGCUAUCGGAUUGAUACUAAGCCAUGCGAGUCAUUGUAGCAAUACAAGGCAUACGGCUCAGUAACGCGUAGUCAACCUAACCUAUGGACGGGAAUAACCUCGGGAAACUGAGAAUAAUGCCCAAUAGAACACUAUACCUGGGAUGGUUUGUGUUCCAAAUGAUUUAUCGCCGUAGGAUGGGACUGCGGCCUAUCAGUUUGUUGGUGAGGUAAUGGCCCACCAAGACUAUUACAGGUACGGGCUCUGAGAGGAGUAGCCCGGAGAUGGGUACUGAGACACGGACCCAGGCCCUAUGGGGCGCAGCAGGCGAGAAAACUUUGCAAUGUGCGAAAGCACGACAAGGUUAAUCCGAGUGAUUUGUGCUAAACGAAUCUUUUGUUAGUCCUAGAAACACUAACGAAUAAGGGGUGGGCAAGUUCUGGUGUCAGCCGCCGCGGUAAAACCAGCACCUCAAGUGGUCAGGAUGAUUAUUGGGCCUAAAGCAUCCGUAGCCGGCUCUGUAAGUUUUCGGUUAAAUCUGUACGCUCAACGUACAGGCUGCCGGGAAUACUGCAGAGCUAGGGAGUGGGAGAGGUAGACGGUACUCGGUAGGAAGGGGUAAAAUCCUUUGAUCUAUCGAUGACCACCUGUGGCGAACGCGGUCUACCAGAACACGUCCGACGGUGAGGGAUGAAAGCUGGGGGAGCAAACCGGAUUAGAUACCCGGGUAGUCCCAGCUGUAACUAUGCAACUCAGUGAUGCAUUGACUUGUGGUCAUGCAGUGCUGCAGGAAGCCGUUAAGUUUGCCGCCUGGGAAUACGUACGCAGUAUGAAUUAAGGAA